GAGAGGAACCGAACUGAGGAGAGGGCUCACUCUGAUGUGUUUCCUGAAGAAAGAUCGUCCACUGUGAUAUUCCUGAAGCGAAACAGAGGGCUCACUCUGAUGCGUUUCCCGAGUCUCAGUAAGGCCACUUUACCUUCAGCAGAGAGGGGCGGAGGAGAGAAGAUGGCUCACUCUGAUGUGUUUCCUGAGGCAGCAGAAGAUGUAGACAGAAGCAGCAGGAGGCCCAAACAGACUGAGUCCAUUCUUCACAGAGGCGCAGGGCGCUGAGCACCGAACCGGGCCGGACCGGACCAGGCCAUCCUCACUACUGCAGUCUUUUACAAUAUUACUGACCAGCAGCGUAUUUACGUAGUUUAGAUGGAGGAAGUGUGUAAACGUGGAUGAUGAUGAGGAGAAGGAGAUGAAGGCUGGAGGUGAGUUUUGUCUAACGAAGCACUAAAUUAAUUUAAAAACUGAACUCAAAUACCCUCCGUGUAAUUUUCCUUCUCUGAACCUGAACUUCCUGCAUCAGGAGCCGUCUGCCGCCAACAGAGACCCUGACUGCUACUGCUGGAUUUUAGCACCACAAUCAGCUGCUGGUCUUCCAGAAUGGAAGUGGCCUAAUUAAAGUACGCUGUUUCCUGUGGACUUCAUACUGAUCCAGUUGACGGCACAGAAGUGAGAGCCAGAGGAGGAAACGUUGUGGGUGAGAAAGGUUUUUGGUUCUGGAGGGGAGCGUGGAG